rnacentral:rRNA from 1 species
AAUGAACGUUGGCGGCGUGGAUUAGGCAUGCAAGUCGAGCGAGAACCCCGCAAGGGGGGACAGCGGCAAACGCGGUAGUAACGGGUAGGUGACGUACCCUCGGGUUGGGGAUAGCCACGGGAAACUGUGGGUAAUACCCAAUAAUCUCUUCGGGCGUGAUGUUCGAGGAGCAAAGGUGUGAUUCCACCUGAGGAGCGGCCUGCUUCGUAUUAGCUAGUUGGUGAGGUAACGGCUCACCAAGGCGACGAUGCGUAGGGGGUGUGAGAGCAUGACCCCCACCACUGGGACUGAGAUACUGCCCAGACACCUACGGGUGGCUGCAGUCGAGAAUCUUCGGCAAUGGGCGCAAGCCUGACCGAGCGACGCCGCGUGUGGGAUGAAGGCCCUUGGGUUGUAAACCACUGUCAGAGGGGAUGAAAUGCGGGAGAGCAAUCUCUUCCGUUUGACAUAGCCUCAGAGGAAGCACGGGCUAAGUUCGUGCCAGCCGCCGCAGUAAUAC